rnacentral:rRNA from 1 species
ACGGAGGGUGCAAGCGUUGUUCGGAAUCACUGGGCGUAAAGGGCGCGUAGGCGGUUAUGCAAGUCAGAUGUGAAAUACUUCAGCUUAACUGAAGAACUGCAUUUGAUACUGCAAGACUAGAGUACAGGAGAGGGAAAUGGAAUUCCCGGUGUAGAUGUGAAAUUCGUAGAUAUCGGGAGGAACACCAGUGGCGAAGGCGAUUUCCUGGCCUGAUUCUGACGCUGAGGCGCUAAAGCGUGGGGAGGUAACAG